GCUCCGGUGGCCUAGUGGUUAGAGCGACCGCCUUGGAUGCGGAAGGUCGUGGGUUCUCAUACUUCUACUCUGUGCU